rnacentral:lncRNA from 1 species
UUCUGUGAUUCCGUGCCUCUGCAGAGACCAACUCCCUUAAGGAAACUGGCACCACCCGAGCGCGGUUGAUGUGCGAAUCGCAGGUCCCGAUGCUGCACAGAGCUCAGACCGAGCUAAACCUUCCAGCCAGCCCCCAAACCCAUCGGUUGCAGCCUUUUAAUCGAAGGCAGGGAAAGGAUCGCUCUGCUGUGGGUAUCGACUGAUCACACGCGUCCCUGGGGAGGGAGCGGGCGAAGCGCUGCAGCCUCCGGUCAGUGCUGCCGCUCCACGCCACGGCCGCGCUGCAGCCCGCGCCUCCUCCCGGGGCAUCGCAGCCUGCUGGGGAAAUCCCUCUCUUGUGGGCUCCUUAACUAUCAAUCGAAUAUAAGGCUUUCCAAACCGUGAGUAAGGGUUUAAUGCUUGUUCUGUCUGUGGGGGUUAUUAUGCUGCGAGUCUCGGUGUGCAAAAUGAGUGUUACAACAUCUUAGUGACCGUCCCUAAUGAUGUGUAUCUGCAUGGCUUUUCCCAACGAGCCUCGGAGCCACCUGCUCUAUGAAUACAUUGAAUUUCGAAUAAAAACCUAAAAACUUCACUGAAACGGUGUAUUUUGGCUCAGUGAAGAGAAAAUACAAGGUUGCUCCUGGCCAGUUUGGAGCCCAGUAAUUGGGACUUCGGUGAUGGUGAUUAGAGAUUUUAAAUGGUGUGACUCGCUGGCCGCUGCUUUAAUUGUUUUUUUUCUUUAGUUUUCCUUCAACUGCAUUAGAGACGUUGCAGAGUUUGGUGUUGAGAAGGAUACAAACAGACUGCCACAAAACCCUCUCCAUUACCCUUGUAGGAUCCACCUCCUGCUCGGCCCCACAAGCCCCUGAGAGCCGGGAAGAAGCGGGGAGCGAAUGGAGAGAGAGUGACAGGACGGAGCUACAGGAGGCCAUGGAGCACAACAGCAGACUGGACAAGGAAAUUCUGGCGCUGCGAGCGCGGGUCCAAACACUUGACUUGGAAAGAAAAGCAUUCCUGGAUCUGGUUGAACAGCUCAAAGAGGAGAUCUGUGAGUAUCAGAAGAGUGAGAAGCAAGGAACUCCAUUGCCUGCACCAGCCGACACUGAGGAAGUAGCCACGUGCUCGCUGCAGGUAUUCCCAAGGGCUUUUUGUUUGCCAUUCUAGAAGCCAAAUGAAGCAAACUGGUUCCACUCUGUGUUUCACAAUGCCAGAAAUGAAGAC